rfam:'Echinacea purpurea' witches'-broom phytoplasma strain NCHT2014 contig_25, whole genome shotgun sequence.
GCAAGCCGGAUGCUUGGAAACUUGCUUGUCCGGUUUAGAUGGGGGCUGUUUGUAAUAGAUAUCAGGAAGGUACAUCCUGAUUUUAAACGCAAAUGUUCUAUCCAUAU